rnacentral:lncRNA from 1 species
CUUUCUACCCUGUGUGAAUGACGACCUGCUGUCUCAGUGCAGCGUGACAAAGACCCUGCCAAAUGAAAGGAAGAUUGUACGCCAUUUAAACACUCCCUAUUGGCCUACUGUCGCCUAGAAGUCAUACAGAUGGACCUAAAUAUGGAUAUCAACAUCUACAGCAAGAUGUACAGACACAACAGAACAGCAGCCUCUACAUGUUGCGAAGCCUACUGCAACAAAAACGUGAUCUUACUGUCUUUGCAACUGAGCACACUCUACCAGCAACACUGACAGCUCACCAGUGGGAGCUGAUAGAUAAGACUGCUCAUGUGCUCUCAUCCAUUGAAGAGCUGACCAGAAACGUGAACAGAAAGACUGCAACUGCACCUGAUGGGAUCCCUGCCAUAACAGAUGUGUUCUGUCCAGUGAAGGCAGUGGAGAAGCCCUACACUGAUGUUGAAACUGUGCCACUCUUCUAGAAACCAGCUACAAGGAUGGGCAGGUAUAGUGAAAUUAAAAUGCACCUUUUGUUCAACAGGUUUAUAUAUACAGUCAAGUGAUCAAAAGACACCAGUAUUAAACCCAUUUAAACCAACUACAUGCUUGGAUUGGAACUGUAUACAGGCCACCAAAUUACAGCCACGUGUGGUUUUUACCUCACAUAGCAACU